AGUAAAAUGGCUGAAUAUUAGGCAAUAAAUUGUAAAUUUAUUAAUAAGAAUUAAUUCUUUUUUACUA
rnacentral:tRNA from 1 species